rnacentral:tRNA from 1 species
UGCCCUGUCGUCUAACUGGUAGGACACCUGUUUUUGGCACAGGCAACCUUGGUUCGAAUCCAGGCGGGGCAGCCA